AUUGAACGCUGGCGGCAGGCCUAACACAUGCAAGUCGAGCGGAUGAAGGGAGCUUUCUCCUGGCUUCAGCGGCGGACGGGUGAGUAAUUCCUAGGAAUCUGCCUGGUCUUGGGGGAUAACGUCCGUAAACGGGCGCUAAUACCGCAUACGUCCUGAUGUUGAAAGUGGUGGAUCUUCGGACCUCACGCUAUCAGAUGAGCCUAGGUCGGAUUAGCUAGUUGGUGGGGUAAAGGCCUACCAAGGCGACUAUCCGUAACUGGUCUGAGAGGCUGAUCAGUCACACUGGAACUGAGACACGGUCCAGACUCCUACGGGAGGAAGCAGUGGGGAAUAUUGGACAAUGGGCGAAAGCCUGAUCCAAACAUGCGGCGGGUGUGAAGAAGGUCUUCGGAUUGUAAAGCACUUUAAGUUGGGAGGAAGGGCAGUAAGUUAAUACCGUGCUGUUUUGACGUUACCAACAGAAUAAGCACCGGCUAACUUCGU
rnacentral:rRNA from 1 species